UCCAAACAUCUGUAUAUACCAUCAGGCCACAUCUGCUUCCAGGGCUGCAGGAAUUGGGCUGAAAGUAGACACAACCAGCAGAGUUUGGGAAUGAAGUGGCCUAGGCCCCUGGAUUCAGUUUAUGGAAAAGCAGGCCACAUAAGGGUGCCAACCGAUCAGAUUGAAUGAAAGGGAAUCAAAAAUCUGUCAGCUGUCUUCAGUGAUCUACUGUGUGUAAACUCUUCCUCCUGUUGGCCAGCACUGUUUCCAGAUUUGAUCCUAAGUAGCUGUAUAAACACUGAACAUCUUUAAAUUUGAAUUUGCACAUUAGAAAAUUUGAAGUUUACAGAAGUCCAGAUGUGUUGGCUGUUCCAGUUGUUCCACCAUAUGGAAAGACCACAGUUUAUCGG